rnacentral:lncRNA from 1 species
CCAAAUUAACCCAGCUAAAGCGUGCUCAACUUCACAUCACAUGCGAACCGAUACUUUAAUCAAGUUAACCUGGUAGUUUUUCAGGUUACCCCCGAUAAAAAACUUGUCUCAGGUCAAAACAAAAGCAUCUCACACAAAGGUGAGUCCAGAGAUUACAACAUUCCAAUACUUAAUAGAUAAAUUCGAAUUCAGCUAUUACACAACCAUUGUUCAAAAGUGCAUAAAAAGAAAUGUUCAAAGUUUAAGCAGCAGAAAAGACACCAUGCAACUAUCAUCGAUACAAAAUACCAUGGCGAAGCCGACCAUGAUAUCAAUCACCACAAUCCUCACCGUCCGACAACGGGUUCCACUCGACCGUCCAACCUGGAGGGAGUUGGGUCGGCCAAGUCAAAUUGGCAAUCACUUCCUCAAAAUCAACACUACCUGAAAACAUAGCCACAAGCAAGGCUAAAUAUACUAAUACUCAACAAGACUUACCCAUAAGGUGGUAACUACUCC